GUAACGUGUGUACAAUUCGGCGUAUGAUCCAAGAGCUUAGGGAAAAACCUCGAAUGACCUUUUAAUACUGAAGGGCUUCUUUUCCAUUGGGUUAAAAAUUUCCUUAUCCUCUCUUCAUCUCCAAAUUAUGGCUGAAACAAAAAACCAGAGCAGAAAACUAGAAAGAAAAAGUAAAUAAUACAGCCUUCAUUAAAUUGAUUCGAAGAUUUAAUGAUAAGUGAGGAAAUAAUAAGUAAAACCAUGGAAUUUCAUUUUCGCAUCCACCAUUAUUUGUAAUUCACUAUACAGAGACAGAAUGGGUGAUAUGGUUAUGAACUCAUUAAAUACGAAUUUUACCUCU